rnacentral:lncRNA from 1 species
UCGAAAAAAAAAAGAGCUUGCCUGCUCAAACUAACUUCUCUUCUCUCUUACAAAAAAAAUCAAGUUCUUCCUCUUCUUUCACAUCAAGAACUCUUUCUCUAUCUUCUUGUUUCAUCUUCAACACCAAUAACGAGUAGCUUCACCUUUGAUAAUUUCUGAAGGAAAUGGAUGGCGAGGUAUCAAGAACCUGGGAGAUAACAGAAGAUUCGGAGCAGAUUGAUUUGCCACCUGGCUUUAGAUUUCACCCAACAGAUGAAGAACUCAUAAGUUACUAUCUGAGACCAAAGGUUCUAAACACCUUCUUCUCCGCUAUAGCCAUUGGUGAAGUUGAUCUCAAUAAGGUUGAACCAUGGGACAUACCAUGUAAGUUUAGCUCUUUUUUUACUUUCUGUAUAUUUCUAUGUUUUUUUUCGUUUAAUCAUUGUUUUCAUGGUGGAACAGGGAAGGCUAAGAUUGGGGAAAAAGAGUGGUACUUCUUCUGCGUAAGAGAUCGGAAAUACCCGACUGGUUUAAGGACGAACCGGGCUACUAAGGCCGGUUAUUGGAAAGCUACAGGCAAAGACAAAGAGAUCUUCAAAGAAAAAUGUAUUGUUGGUAUGAAGAAAACUUUGGUUUUCUACAAAGGAAGAGCUCCUAAAGGAGUAAAAACCAAUUGGGUCAUGCACGAAUAUCGCUUAGAAGGCAAAUAUGCAAUCGACAAUAAUCCUAAAACUGCUAAGGUAAGGUAACAAUGUAAUAACAGUUACAAAAAAAAAAGAAAAAAAAAGAAGAAGGUAACAAUGUAAUAGUUACAGUAACUGACCUUUGAUACACAUCACACUUGUUGCUCAAGUGACACGCUAUCUUACAUAAUAGUUUGUUACGUAUGUUACAUGCAAAAACAUCUCUUAUUUAUGGUUUUGUCACCAUAUUACAAAUUUAAACGUUAUAUUGCAUACUUGUGUGUAAUUUUUUUUUCUUUUGUUGUGAAGUUGGAUUUGAUAUAUGAAUGUGUUGUUGUUUGUGAAUGCAGAACGAAUGGGUUAUUAGUAGAAUUUUUCAGAAACAUGCAGAUGGUAAGAAGAUGCAUAUCUCCAGUUUAAUGAAGCUCGGUUCAGGGAUCAACCAUAUUGAACCGGUCGGUUUACCUCCCCUGAUGGAUUCUUCUCCAUACCUCAAGAGCGGAGGAGGAGACACUUUCGCCGGGUCGUUGUCUCACGUGACAUGCUUCUCCGACCAAACAACCGAGGACAAGAGUCACCUCUCCGAGUCAAGAGAUGAAUGUAACUUUACCAUGUUUGGUUCUUCAUCGACUCACUUGAUGAUACCGAACAUUGGUUCUAUACUACACUCUGAUCCUAUGAUUAUGCAAGAUAAUUCUCCAAUAUUGAAGAUAAUGCUUGACAGUGAAGAAACACAGUUUAAGAAAGAUCUCCAGGAUUUCAGUACAUCGGAGAACGAAUUAACCGCGAGUUCUUGGCACGGUCACGAUAUUUCUGGUUCAGCUUCCUCUUCUUUCACAUCAAGAACUCUUUCUCUAUCUUCUUGUUUCAUCUUCAACACCAAUAACGAGUAGCUUCACCUUUGAUAAUUUCUGAAGGAAAUGGAUGGCGAGGUAUCAAGAACCUGGGAGAUAACAGAAGAUUCGGAGCAGAUUGAUUUGCCACCUGGCUUUAGAUUUCACCCAACAGAUGAAGAACUCAUAAGUUACUAUCUGAGACCAAAGGUUCUAAACACCUUCUUCUCCGCUAUAGCCAUUGGUGAAGUUGAUCUCAAUAAGGUUGAACCAUGG